rfam:Zea mays cultivar B73 chromosome 3, whole genome shotgun sequence.
UGGUCAGAUGAAGAAUAUAAAACCGCAACAAUAUGAUGGGAUUAUUCUCCUGUGAUUCCCUCAUUUUAAGUCUCUGAUGACA